UACGUAGGGUGCAGGCGUUAAUCGGAAUUACUGGGCGUAAAGCGUGCGCAGGCGGUUUGCUAAGAGAGAUGUGAAAUCCCCCGGCUUAACCUGGGAACUGCGUCUGAUACUGGGAGGCUUGAGUAUGGGAGAGGGAUGUAGAAUUCCAGGUGUAGCGGUGAAAUCCGUUGAUCUAUAGAGUACCACCAAAAGGCGAAGGCAAUUGACUAUUCCAUUUCUGACGUUGAGGCAUGAAAGCGUGGGGAGCAAACCGG
rnacentral:rRNA from 1 species